AGAGGUAAGAGGUACUACGAGGGUAGGAGUGAAAUCUUGUAAUCCCUGUGGGACCACCUGUGGCGAAGGCGUCUUACCAGAACGGGUUCGACGGUGAGGGACGAAAGCUGGGGGCACGAACCGGAUUAGAUACCCGGGUAGUCCCAGCCGUAAACGAUGCUCGCUAGGUGUCAGGCAUGGCGCGACCGUGUCUGGUGCCGCAGGGAAGCCGUGAAGCGAGCCACCUGGGAAGUACGGCCGCAAGGCUGAAACUUAAAGGAAUUGGCGGGGGAGCACAACAACGGGUGGAGCCCUGCGGUUUAAUUGGACUCAACGCCGGACAACUCACCGGGGGCGACAGCAAUAUGUAGGCCAAGCUGAAGACUUUGCCUGAAUCGCUGAGGAGUGGUGCAUGG
rnacentral:rRNA from 1 species